UAAUACUAUUGAUGGCGACCGGCGGACGGGUGCGUAACGCGUAUGCAACCUACCCUUUACAGGGGGAUAACACUGAGAAAUCGGUACUAAUACCCCAUAAUAUUCUGGGAGGCAUCUUUCGGAGUUGAAAGCUUUGGUGGUAAAGGAUGGGCAUGCGUUGUAUUAGCUAGUUGGUAAGGUAACGGCUUACCAAGGCGACGAUACAUAGGGGGACUGAGAGGUUAACCCCCCACAUUGGUACUGAGACACGGACCAA
rnacentral:rRNA from 1 species